rnacentral:rRNA from 1 species
UGGGGAAUAUUGGACAAUGGAGGAAACUCUGAUCCAGCAAUUCUGUGUGUGUGAAGAAGGUUUUAGGACUGUAAAACACUUUUAGUAGGGAAGAAAAAAAUGACGGUACCUACAGAAGAAGCAACGGCUAAAUACGUGCCAGCAGCCGCGGUAAUACGUAUGUUGCGAGCGUUAUCCGGAAUUAUUGGGCUUAAAGGGCAUCUAGGCGGUAAGACAAGUUGAAGAUGAAAACCUGUGGCUCAACCAUAGGCUUGCCUACAAAACUGUUGAACUAGAGUACUGGAAAGGUGGGUGGAACUACACGAGUAGAGGUGAAAUUCGUAGAUAUGUGUAGGAAUGCCGAUGAUGAAGAUAACUCACUGGACAGAAACUGACGCUGAAGUGCGAAAGCUAGGGGAGCAAACAGG